rnacentral:rRNA from 1 species
AAUGGGUCAGCGACUUAUAUUCUGUAGCAAGGUUAACCGAAUAGGGGAGCCGAAGGGAAACCGAGUCUUAACUGGGCGUUAAGUUGCAGGGUAUAGACCCGAAACCCGGUGAUCUAGCCAUGGGCAGGUUGAAGGUUGGGUAACACUAACUGGAGGACCGAACCGACUAAUGUUGAAAAAUUAGCGGAUGACUUGUGGCUGGGGGUGAAAGGCCAAUCAAACCGGGAGAUAGCUGGUUCUCCCCGAAAGCUAUUUAGGUAGCGCCUCGUGAAUUCAUCUCCGGGGGUAGAGCACUGUUUCGGCAAGGGGGUCAUCCCGACUUACCAACCCGAUGCAAACUGCGAAUACCGGAGAAUGUUAUCACGGGAGACACACGGCGGGUGCUAACGUCCGUCGUGAAGAGGGAAACAACCCAGACCGCCAGCUAAGGUCCCAAAGUCAUGGUUAAGUGGGAAACGAUGUGGGAAGGCCCAGACAGCCAGGAUGUUGGCUUAGAAGCAGCCAUCAUUUAAAGAAAGCGUAAUAGCUCACUGGUCGAGUCGGCCUGCGCGGAAGAUGUAACGGGGCUAAACCAUGCACCGAAGCUGCGGCAGCGACGCUUAUGCGUUGUUGGGUAGGGGAGCGUUCUGUAAGCCUGCGAAGGUGUGCUGUGAGGCAUGCUGGAGGUAUCAGAAGUGCGAAUGCUGACAUAAGUAACGAUAAAGCGGGUGAAAAGCCCGCUCGCCGGAAGACCAAGGGUUCCUGUCCAACGUUAAUCGGGGCAGGGUGAGUCGACCCCUAAGGCGAGGCCGAAAGGCGUAGUCGAUGGGAAACAGGUUAAUAUUCCUGUACUUGGUGUUACUGCGAAGGGGGGACGGAGAAGGCUAUGUUGGCCGGGCGACGGUUGUCCCGGUUUAAGCGUGUAGGCUGGUUUUCCAGGCAAAUCCGGAAAAUCAAGGCUGAGGCGUGAUGACGAGGCACUACGGUGCUGAAGCAACAAAUGCCCUGCUUCCAGGAAAAGCCUCUAAGCAUCAGGUAACAUCAAAUCGUACCCCAAACCGACACAGGUGGUCAGGUAGAGAAUACCAAGGCGCUUGAGAGAACUCGGGUGAAGGAACUAGGCAAAAUGGUGCCGUAACUUCGGGAGAAGGCACGCUGAUAUGUAGGUGAGGUCCCUCGCGGAUGGAGCUGAAAUCAGUCGAAGAUACCAGCUGGCUGCAACUGUUUAUUAAAAACACAGCACUGUGCAAACACGAAAGUGGACGUAUACGGUGUGACGCCUGCCCGGUGCCGGAAGGUUAAUUGAUGGGGUUAGCGGUAACGCGAAGCUCUUGAUCGAAGCCCCGGUAAACGGCGGCCGUAACUAUAACGGUCCUAAGGUAGCGAAAUUCCUUGUCGGGUAAGUUCCGACCUGCACGAAUGGCGUAAUGAUGGCCAGGCUGUCUCCACCCGAGACUCAGUGAAAUUGAACUCGCUGUGAAGAUGCAGUGUACCCGCGGCAAGACGGAAAGACCCCGUGAACCUUUACUAUAGCUUGACACUGAACAUUGAGCCUUGAUGUGUAGGAUAGGUGGGAGGCUUAGAAGUGUGGACGCCAGUCUGCAUGGAGCCGACCUUGAAAUACCACCCUUUAAUGUUUGAUGUUCUAACGUUGACCCGUAAUCCGGGUUGCGGACAGUGUCUGGUGGGUAGUUUGACUGGGGCGGUCUCCUCCUAAAGAGUAACGGAGGAGCACGAAGGUUGGCUAAUCCUGGUCGGACAUCAGGAGGUUAGUGCAAUGGCAUAAGCCAGCUUGACUGCGAGCGUGACGGCGCGAGCAGGUGCGAAAGCAGGUCAUAGUGAUCCGGUGGUUCUGAAUGGAAGGGCCAUCGCUCAACGGAUAAAAGGUACUCCGGGGAUAACAGGCUGAUACCGCCCAAGAGUUCAUAUCGACGGCGGUGUUUGGCACCUCGAUGUCGGCUCAUCACAUCCUGGGGCUGAAGUAGGUCCCAAGGGUAUGGCUGUUCGCCAUUUAAAGUGGUACGCGAGCUGGGUUUAGAACGUCGUGAGACAGUUCGGUCCCUAUCUGCCGUGGGCGCUGGAGAACUGAGGGGGGCUGCUCCUAGUACGAGAGGACCGGAGUGGACGCAUCACUGGUGUUCGGGUUGUCAUGCCAAUGGCACUGCCCGGUAGCUAAAUGCGGAAGAGAUAAGUGCUGAAAGCAUCUAAGCACGAAACUUGCCCCGAGAUGAGUUCUCCCUGACUCCUUGAGAGUCCUGAAGGAACGUUGAAGACGACGACGUUGAUAGGCCGGGUGUGUAAGCGCAGCGAUGCGUUGAGCUAACCGGUACUAAUGAACCGUGAGGCUUAACCUUACAACGCCGAAG